rnacentral:ncRNA from 1 species
UUGUCGAAAGGGCAAACUAUUCGAAAGGAUAGGGCGCAAAGCCGACGGCCUAAGGGUAAAGUAAGCCUAUGGCGGCGGGUUGCCGAA